rnacentral:rRNA from 1 species
AGAGUUUGAUCCUGGCUCAGGAUGAACGCUGGCGGCGUGCUUAACACAUGCAAGUCGAACGAACCUUCGGGUUAGUGGCGGACGGGUGAGUAACGCGUGAGAAUCUGCCCUCAGGAGGGGGAUAACGGCUGGAAACGGCCGCUAAUACCCCAUAUGCCGAGAGGUGAAAUGAAUUUCGCCUGAGGAUGAGCUCGCGUCUGAUUAGCUAGUUGGUAGGGUAAAGGCCUACCAAGGCUUCGAUCAGUAGCUGGUCUGAGAGGAUGAUCAGCCACACUGGGACUGAGACACGGCCCAGACUCCUACGGGAGGCAGCAGUGGGGAAUUUUCCGCAAUGGGCGAAAGCCUGACGGAGCAACGCCGCGUGAGGGAUGAAGGCCUCUGGGCUGUAAACCUCUUUUAUCAAGGAAGAAGAUCUGACGGUACUUGAUGAAUAAGCCACGGCUAAUUCCGUGCCAGCAGCCGCGGUAAUACGGGAGUGGCAAGCGUUAUCCGGAAUUAUUGGGCGUAAAGCGUCCGCAGGCGGUCUUACAAGUCUGUCGUUAAAGCGUGGAGCUUAACUCCAUUUCAGCGAUGGAAACUGUAAGACUAGAGUGUGGUAGGGGCAGAGGGAAUUCCCGGUGUAGCGGUGAAAUGCGUAGAUAUCGGGAAGAACACCAGUGGCGAAGGCGCUCUGCUGGGCCAUAACUGACGCUCAUGGACGAAAGCCAGGGGAGCGAAAGGGAUUAGAUACCCCUGUAGUCCUGGCCGUAAACGAUGAACACUAGGUGUCGGGGGAAUCGACCCCCUCGGUGUCGUAGCCAACGCGUUAAGUGUUCCGCCUGGGGAGUACGCACGCAAGUGUGAAACUCAAAGGAAUUGACGGGGGCCCGCACAAGCGGUGGAGUAUGUGGUUUAAUUCGAUGCAACGCGAAGAACCUUACCAGGGUUUGACAUCCUGCGAAUCCCUUGGAAACGAGGGAGUGCCUUCGGGAACGCAGUGACAGGUGGUGCAUGGCUGUCGUCAGCUCGUGUCGUGAGAUGUUGGGUUAAGUCCCGCAACGAGCGCAACCCACGUCUUUAGUUGCCAGCAUUUAGUUGGGCACUCUAGAGAGACUGCCGGUGAUAAACCGGAGGAAGGUGUGGAUGACGUCAAGUCAUCAUGCCCCUUACAUCCUGGGCUACACACGUACUACAAUGCUACGGACAAAGGGCAGCAAACUCGCGAGAGCUAGCAAAUCCCAUAAACCGUGGCUCAGUUCAGAUCGUAGGCUGCAACUCGCCUACGUGAAGGAGGAAUCGCUAGUAAUCGCAGGUCAGCAUACUGCGGUGAAUACGUUCCCGGGCCUUGUACACACCGCCCGUCACACCAUGGAAGUUGGCCACGCCCGAAGUCGUUACUCCAACCCUUGUGGAGGAGGAUGCCGAAGGUGGGGCUGAUGACUGGGGUGAAGUCGUAACAAGGUAGCCGUACCGGAAGGUGCGGCUG